rnacentral:rRNA from 1 species
AACGAACGCUGGCGGCAUGCCUAACACAUGCAAGUCGAACGAGACCUUCGGGUCUAGUGGCGCACGGGUGCGUAACGCGUGGGAACCUGCCCUUAGGUUCGGAAUAACUCCCCGAAAGGGGUGCUAAUACCGGAUAAUGUCUUCGGACCAAAGAUUUAUCGCCUUUGGAUGGGCCCGCGUUGGAUUAGCUAGUUGGUAGGGUAAAAGCCUACCAAGGCGACGAUCCAUAGCUGGUCUGAGAGGAUGAUCAGCCACACUGGGACUGAGACACGGCCCAGACUCCUACGGGAGGGAGCAGUGGGGAAUAUGGGAAAGUGGGCGAAAGCCUUACCCAGCAAGGCCGCGGGAGUGAUGAAGGCCUUGGGGUUUUAAAGCUCUUUUACCCGGGAUAAUAAUGAAAGGACCGGGGGAAAAAGCCCCGGCUAACUCCGU